rnacentral:rRNA from 1 species
GGGGGACCAUCCUCCAAGGCUAAAUACUCCUGACUGACCGAUAGUGAACCAGUACCGUGAGGGAAAGGCGAAAAGAACCCCGGCGAGGGGAGUGAAAAAGAACCUGAAACCGUGUACGUACAAGCAGUGGGAGCCUCUUAAUGGGGUGACUGCGUACCUUUUGUAUAAUGGGUCAGCGACUUAUAUUCUGUAGCAAGGUUAACCGAAUAGGGGAGCCGAAGGGAAACCGAGUCUUAACUGGGCGUUAAGUUGCAGGGUAUAGACCCGAAACCCGGUGAUCUAGCCAUGGGCAGGUUGAAGGUUGGGUAACACUAACUGGAGGACCGAACCGACUAAUGUUGAAAAAUUAGCGGAUGACUUGUGGCUGGGGGUGAAAGGCCAAUCAAACCGGGAGAUAGCUGGUUCUCCCCGAAAGCUAUUUAGGUAGCGCCUCGUGAAUUCAUCUCCGGGG